GUAGCCUGUCUAGUAGUCGACUUCCGCUAAUGUGGAUCGUUCCCUGUGAUUGUGAAAACGACGACAAGGAAGAUUACAAAGGUUCUUUUUUACAAAUAGAUUAGGCCUAUAGAGUACAGUAUUGCAUCAGUACAAAAAUACUUCGUCGAGGGUGCAAGAUUAACAUACCGGACGAAAGAUCUGUAAUAAAAUCGCUUUGUUUGUUUACGAAUUAAGAAAAAAACCGACAGAAUUGAUAUUUUAUAAUGAUAAUUAAACCAUUUUGUAGUCGUGAAGAAUUUAAUUUCGUAGCUCUGGUACUCUAGUAGCUUCCUGUGUAAAGUAAAAAUAUGUUUAUUAUUGCAUUAAAUCGAUAAAUUUUAUUAAAUUUUUGAGAAAGACAUAUUUACCUGGGGUUGGUCAGAGCAACGAGGGACGAAGCUUUACGUCAGAGCAUGAUUGAAGAAACGAAAGGAAAACUAAAAAAUCCAGCAACGAGGUGUAUAACUUUACCGGCUGUUGUGAGAUUUUAUUAAAAAUGUAAUUUUUAUAUUAUUAAUCAAAUAAAUAAAGUUGCU